CAGAAUCAUCCUCUCUAUAUAUAAACAUAUAUUAGUCUUCUCCCACUUCUAUCUUCAAUCUCAUUUCCAAUUUCUCACUUCAUUCUUCUUCUGCAAUCUCAAAUUCGUUAGUCCCCUUAUUUUCCAUCUAAUCUCUUUUCUAUGUUUUAGAUCUUCCAUUUCUAACGCUGUUUCGUACUUGAUCCCUAAAUUGAUUUUAUCUUCGUUUCUACUGCGAUCAUCGCUGGUUUUCUGUUUGUUAAGCCUCAUUGUUAUUUGUUUUUUUAUUACGAUUUACUUAAUUUUGCAACAAGAUCAAUAUAGUUAUAGGAUAUGUGUUAAUAUAUUCUUAAUUUUGUGAUUCACUUUUUACAUUUUUAUAUGACUUUGUUUAUGGCGAUUUCUCUGUAUAGAGUAAUGAGAGAAUUGUUUACCUAUAAAGAGAACAUCUAUUUGAUUUUGUAUCAUAAGGCUCAAUCGGAUUCUGGAAACAAUUUUUUUUUUCCGCUUGCGAGUAAGGCUAUAUAUAUCAACCUUCCUCCUAAGUAGGAGCGUCACUUUUUUUUAGAUUGACAUGAUCUAUUAAUUUUGUCUUUUAGGUUGCACAUCAUAAAUCAAUGAAUUUGGUCUAUGAAAAAAGAAAAAGAUUUGUAAGAUUCUUAUCUGAUGAUAGUGUGCAAAGGCAAGGAUGAAAAUGAUAUUUUCUUCUAAUCUUAGGACUAAAUUGAUCAAUGAUCAACAAUGUCAAUUUUAGGAACCAAUGCAACAUUUUAGGCUAUGCUAAAAAUUCUUUAGCAUUGGGUGUCUUGGAUCCGAGAUCCCAUAAUUUGAUGUUUCUUUUGUUGGUUUGUUAACAAUUCGUAAUCGAACCGGUUAUAUCUCAUAGCAAUCAAACCUUUGACCUUUUGUUGGUUCUGGGAUCUAACGAAACCUUACCUUGCACUGUAGCGUUAAUUGUGUAAACAUUUACAUACAGUUAUACAUCAACCGCCAUUCGUUUGUGUUACUACUUUUUUUUUUUUGAAGAGUCAUUGAUAAUUAUAAAAUGAAUCAGAUAAUAUAGUGAUAGUGUAAAAAACUCUUACAAUAUGUGUAUAUGUAUUUAUUUAUUAUUUAUUGUUCAGUCUUUGUUGUUGCUUUUAUUUAGUGUAAGUCUGUUAACAAUUCGUAAUUGUGAAUCAUCAGCUAUUGGCUUUGAAACAUGGGAGGUGGUAAGGACAAACAUGAUGAAUCUGACAAAGGGUUUAUGUCAAACCUUGCUCACGGUGUAGCUAAUUCUUCACAUGGGUACCCACCUGGGGCUUACCCUCCACAACAUGGGGCUUACCCUCCACAAGGGUACCCACCCCAACAAGGGUACCCUCAACAAGGUUACCCACCCCAACAAGGGUACCCACCACAAGGGUACCCACCACAACAAGGGUACCCACCAGCUGGGUAUCCUCCUUCUGGUUAUCCUGGUUCUGCUCCACAUGCCCCAGGUAUGUUUGCCUUCGAUUGUUUUUACAUUGUUGCAUUUUUGCCAUGCUGCUGAUUAUUACAUUGAAUUCUGAAAUUCCGUAGUUUUUGUAAAAUUUAUGAAGCUGCUUGCUUUGAAGAAUAUGACUAUAUAUUGCGAAUUACAUUCAACAUAUGAACUGAUUGUUUAUCUAAAUAUAAAAAAUGUCUUGCGUGGGCACUUGUUAAGGAAUAAAAAAAUAGAAAAUGAAGUUGAAAAUUGCAUCAUUUAAAUUCUUAAUAUAUUUGAAUGCAUUAUUUUCCUUUUGAUUCCUUAACUGGUGUCCUAGGAAGCCCUAUUGGUACUUGGUACCAAUUAGAAUUCUCCAAUAAAGCCUCAUGAGCUGAGAUGUUUUGGACUUUUGAAUAUCUCCGGACAUUUAAUAUUGUUAGCAUUCUAGUCACUCAUAAUUAUGCCGUAUAAUAGGGAAAGACAACUUAUCACAUAAGUAUUAUGUUUUUUAAUGUAAUGUUAAUUUCCCUGUUCUGCACGCUUCUUGAAAUCUGUGUGGUUUUGAAGUUGUUUUCCUUGGGUUCAUUUAUGAAUUGGCUAUGUGAAAGUUUUUUUGGUAUCUAUAAUUUGCAUCAAUAUCCUUGGAAGUUGCUAAGUUCUCUUCCUCUAUCACUAGGGGCCCAUGGACAUGGAGGAAUAGGAGGAAUGCUUAUGGGGGGUGCUGCCGCAGCAGCUGCUGCAUAUGGUGCUCACCAAGUCUCCCACGGAGCUCAUGGUGCCUAUGGAGCACACGGAGCUUAUGGACAUGGUGGUGCUCACAUGCCCCAUGGGAAAUUCAAGAAUCAUGGCAAGUUCAAGCAGGGAAAGCAUGGUAAGUUUGGAAAGCAUGGAAAGUUCGGCAAGCAUGGUAAGGGGUUCAAGAAGUGGAAGUAAGGAAUGACUUUGAAUGCAUGCUGCUCUGUUGAGUAGUGCUUAUUGCUUUAUAAAUAAAUAAACCAUACAUUGUGUGAUGGUCCUCUUUUUUUUUUUCUUCAUGUUUUUAUGUGCUGUUGGCUGUUACAUAAAAUUAGAUUCUAGAAACUGAUCAGAGAAAAUACAGUUUCACUGUAUCAAGACUUUGAAAUUAAUUUAAUGCCUAUUUUGUUUUGUGAUGCUCUAUGUGAAUCUUCAUUUGAUUGGCUUUGUUUUCACCCUGGAAAAAUCAACCCGUUGCUACUGGUGCAUUUCAUGGCCUUAGCAUUUUUUUCACUCAUAUAAGAGUGGUGAUGAAAGUUAGAAUAAAAAAUCAAAAUGUUUUGGUCUCUCUAAUUUGGGGUAACUGAGAAUCAGUUCAACGAAUGAGAUUAUUUUUAAUUUGAGGGUAAAUGCUAGGACUUAGUGGAGGGUAGGUCUUAUUGACUUUUUAAAGUAUCCCUUCAAGUUCAAGGUGCACCUCCAACAAAUCAAAAUGAUUCUUUCUUCCAUUUUGGACAUGGCCUUGUAUGUUUUUUCCAUUCACUGCCUAUUCUUCUGUGUAUUAUAUUUUGUUGCUCUUCAUUACAAAUAUGUAGUUUUUAGCAAUGAAAUAUAUUUUACAUAUUUCAGAUUCUUUGUCA
rnacentral:lncRNA from 1 species